rnacentral:ncRNA from 1 species
AAAAGACUCAGUCCUAACCUUACCGUUAAUUCUUGCUAAAAAUAUACAUGCAAGUAUCCGCACCCCAGUGUAAAUGCCCCCAACCUCUCCUAGAGCAAAAGGAGCAGACAUCAGGCACACCCACAGCCGUAGCCUAAGACGUCUUGCCCAGCCACACCCCCACGGGUACUCAGCAGUAAUUAACAUUAAGCAAUAAGUGCAAACUUGACUCAGUUAUAGCAACAUCCAGGGUUGGUAAAUCUUGUGCCAGCCACCGCGGCCAUACAAGAAACCCAAAUUAACCGUAACCGGCGUAAAGAGUGGUACUGCAUUAUCAAAUUAUUUAGGACCAAAACACAUCCCAGCCGUCAUAAACCCAAGAUGUCUAUAAGACCAUCCCCCGACCCUAAUCCUUACGAUCAAUCAAACCCCACGAAAGCUAAGACACAAACUGGGAUUAGAUACCCCACUAUGCCUAGCCCUAAAUCCCAGUACUUCCCUUUCCCCACCAAAGUACUCGCCCGAGAACUACGAGCAUAAACGCUUAAAACUCUAAGGACUUGGCGGUGCCCCAAACCCACCUAGAGGAGCCUGUUCUAUAAUCGAUAACCCACGAUAAACCCAACCACCCCUUGCCAAGCCAGCCUACAUACCGCCGUCGCCAGCUCACCUUCCAUUGAAAGUACAACAGUGAACAUAACAGCCCUAACCCGCUAACAAGACAGGUCAAGGUAUAGCCCACGGGGUGGAAGAAAUGGGCUACAUUUUCUAACAUAGACAACCCACGAAAAGAGAUAUGAAACCAUCUCUAGAAGGCGGAUUUAGCAGUAAAGCGGGAUAAUCUAAAGCCCUCUUUAAACCGGCUCUGGUGCACGUACAUACCGCCCGUCACCCUCCUCACAAGCCCUCCAUUACCCUCACCCAAUAAAUAAUACACCCCUUCCCCUAUCAAAGAUGAGGCAAGUCGUAACAAGGUAAGUGUACCGGAAGGUGCACUUAGCAUACAC